CAUUAGUUGUUAGGAAACUGUCACCGAGCUUCGAUCACCAAAAAAGAAAAAAAAAGAAAAAAGAAAGAAAGAAACGUGUGCCUUUCGAUAUCACGGAAAACCUUUAAUCGAACAAGAAAGAAAUUUUAAAUGGAUCGAGUGCAUAGAAAAAAAAAAAGAAAAGAAAAGAAAGGUGUUCGCGUGCGAUUUGGCCCCACCCCGACGGACCGACGAUCGUGCACGCGCGCGUGUGUGAAUGCACCUCAUGCAUUGGAUGCAACUGCAAGUGGUCAGUAGCUCGCAAAACGACUGACCGCUCGGUACAUUGCUUCCGCACAUCUCGUCGAUCUUCCAACAUGAAAUUCGCACGACACGCGUCCCGAAUUUCUGAUUACUUCUGAUGUCCUACCGAGACGAGAUAUACUCGAACUAACGCUGAAAAUAAUUUAUUCGGUAACUCUGUUAAAAUACCAGUGAACGUAAAGUGACUUUAUUUCAGUGCUUUUAAAAAUUAAGUGAACUCGAUAAGGUUUUUCUUUUUUUUUCUUUUUUGGAUUAUUUAAUUAAAAUUGAAAAGAACAGGUGAAAUUAAAUUGGACGUUGUGAAUUUCGAAUAUUUUAUAAAUAUCAUAAUUCCGUAUAACGUAUGAAUGUAAUAUAAAACCAUACGUAUGAUAACAUUAUAGGAAAAUCCUGUGAGUGACAAUUCUUCGGUGAUAAAGUGAGUUUUAAUAACGUACGAAUAAUAAAGAAACCAUUGCAAAAAAUAUUAACGUUCAUUCUCGAAAAUGGUCGGUGCACGCGUGACAUUGCCGACGACGGGGAGGAUGGUUUAUCUCGAAUAUACAAUCCUCGCGGCCCUACCAACGCGUGUUCGAGGGUGGUAGGAGGGAUGGCUUGGGGUAGAUGGAAAAAGAAGGGGAAGAGAAAAAGGGAGAAACAGAAAGAGAGAGAGAGAGAGAGAGAGAGAGAGAGAGAGAGAGAGAGAGAGAAAGAAAAAGAUAGAGUAGAGGUCGACGAGGAGCCCUCGGUAACCAACGCCCACCGCCAACCACCCCCUACCCUUUAGCUUUUGCGACGUCUAUGGAGGGGUGCUCAACUGAGAAGAGGGGUGGAGAAGGGAGAAGAGAGAGGGCUCGAAGGCAACCCUACACGAAGUGCGCGAACUAACGACGUUCUUUCGCUUUUCGCAUGGAGCGAGACGGGGAGAAAAAAGCUAGGAGGAGGAGAAGGAGGAGGAGGGAGCCAGGCCUCCCCACCCCACCCCACCCCAUCCCCUCAUCACUCCUUCUCCGCUUCUCUUUUUUCAUCGCUCCUCUACUAUCUCUCUACUUUACUCUCUCGCACAUACACUCUUUUUUCCCCUCUCUCGCAUAAACGCAAACCCAAAGGCUGCAUCUAGUAGGUAAUGAUGUAGCCCGCUAGAUUUCCCGUGGAAAAUUACCUACGAACUUGGCCACGGAAUCAGGGUAAAAGCGUGCUUUCUCCUUUCUUUUCCUUCCUUUCUUUCUUUCUUUCUUUCUUUUUCUUUUUUUUUUUUUUUCUUUCAUUUUUUCCUUUUCUGUUCUAUUUCCUUCCUAUCUUUUCUUUAUUUCAAUGGAAAAAAAAUCAACCGUCCGUUUUCGACGCUCUAUACUUUAUCUUUCCAAAAAAUACGCUCUACUUCAAACUUUUUCGUCACUCCUCAUCGUCUCGUCCUUUAACGAACAAAAUUCAACAACAAUAUCGUUAUAAGACAAAAACG